CUCGGGUCUUCCUCUUAUCCAUUGCCUUCAUAAUAUUAUGAUUUACCUAUCUGCACUUAUAAGUGCAUCAGGUCACCUCUCUUCCUCAUUUUCUGCUAAUAUUCCCAAGAAAUUUAAUACGCU
ensembl:ncRNA T21B6.14 ncRNA